rnacentral:lncRNA from 1 species
AAAAAUCUUAGUUAUUACCAAGGUGCUCCGAAGUGUUGACUUAAAUGGGUCAGCAUCCUGCCUUGUGACGGGAGGCUAUGUUGACCCGAGUCAUGUUCGAAAUGGUGUGAGGCUGGGUGGGUCAAGUCAUGUUCGAAGUAGCGUGAGGCUGGUUGGGCCGAGUCACAAUUGAGACCCGUGGGCGUGUAUCUAUACGCUUUAAGUGAAUUGGUUGCGUAUUUCUAAUAGCUCGAGCUUUUAGGAUUAAUGGUUAGCACCAACGAUCCGACACGGAGGGAAAAAAAUAAUUCUGCCUUGUGGAGAGAGAUUAGGUUGGACUGAGUCAUAUCUGAAAUAGUGGGGGGUGAAGUUGGACUGAGUUAUGUUCGAAAUAGCGGGAGGCUGGUUAGGUCGAAUAACAAUAGAGACCCGCUAUGUCUGUAUGCUUUAAUUGAACUGGUUGCAUCUUUCUAACUCCUCAACUUUUUGGGAGUAAUGAUUUAACAUUGACGAUUCAACCAGUGCUAUC